rnacentral:rRNA from 1 species
CUUGUGCACACCGCCCGUCACACCAUGGGAGUGGGUUCUACCAGAAGUAGGUAGGCUAACCGCAAGGGGGCCGCUUACCACGGUAGGAUUCAUGACUGGGGUG